UAGGACGAACGCUGGCGGCGUGCCUAACACAUGCAAGUCGAACGAAGCACUUAACACGGAAUCCUUCGGGAGGAAGAGUUAUUUGACUGAGUGGCGGACGGGUGAGUAACGCGUGGGCAACCUGCCUUGUACAGGGGGAUAACAGUUGGAAACGACUGCUAAUACCGCAUAAGCCUACGGUAUCGCAUGAUACAGUAGGAAAAACUCCGGUGGUACAAGAUGGGCCCGCGUCUGAUUAGCUAGUUGGAGGGGUAACGGCCCACCAAGGCAACGAUCAGUAGCCGGCUUGAGAGAGUGACCGGCCACAUUGGGACUGAGACACGGCCCAA
rnacentral:rRNA from 1 species